UUAAUUUGUGUAUGGAAUGGUAUAAACAUAUUGAAUGGACAUUGCAUAACGGCAUUUGUACGUGUGAACAUUAACAUUGAGGUGAUUGGACUAUAAUCUACGAAGAUGGAAAACAAGCGAGUGGAAAAACAUGAUCUAUGUCUUGUGGUUUGUGAAUGAUCAGGUCGAACGUACUGAAUGAAUUUUUCAUAUGA